rnacentral:lncRNA from 1 species
GUUUGUUCGAUUAUGAUUCUUAAUGUGGCAAUUUGGUCAAUACAUGAUCUCUCCUGUCUGAAACCGGCCUGUUCGUCUCUUAGUAACUUAUCAACUUUUUCUUUAACCUCUGUAGGAUGAUGUGACAUAGGACUUUGCUAGGAAUGGAAAGCAAAAUAAUUCCUCUCCAAUUGCUACAGAUUGAUUUGUCGCCUUUCUUUGGUACUUUAAUGAGGAUUCCUUUACGCCAGUCAUCAGGUAUAUGUUCGUCAUUCCAUAUUUUGUUAAGUAGUUGGUGAAGUUUAUCAAUACAGAUGUUAUCCAUUGCCUUUAUAGCUUCAGGGGGUAUGUUGUCGAUCCCUCCUGCUUUUCCAUUCUUUAGUUGUUUUAUUGCAGCGUUGACCUCUGUUUUAGUUAUAUCUCCUGUCUUGAUAUUCAGGACCUGUCUCCCUUCGAUGGUAGGUGGGUCUGUUGGAGAGGGUCUGUUCAGCACUUCUUCAAAAUGAUAUUUCCAUCGUUUUAAUUGAUCUUCAAUCUUUGUUAACACAUUGCCGUUUUUAUCUUUGACUGUAGCACUUGAGUUUGAUCUUCUUCCAUGCACUUAGUUGUUUUGUGGUGUUGUAGAGAGAUUUUAUGUCUCCUUUGCUACAUGCGAUUUCUGCUUCUUGUGCUAGUUGUUCAAC